CAGUAGCCACGGUAACACGGAGGAUCCAAGCGUUAUCCGGAAUCAUUGGGUUUAAAGGGUCCGUAGGCGGUCUUGUAAGUCAGUGGUGAAAGCCCAUCGCUCAACGGUGGAACGGCCAUUGAUACUGCAGGACUUGAAUUAUUGGGAAGUAACUAGAAUAUGUAGUGUAGCGGUGAAAUGCUUAGAGAUUACAUGGAAUACCAAUUGCGAAGGCAGGUUACUACCAAUUGAUUGACGCUGAUGGACGAAAGCGUGGGUAGCGAACAGGAUUAGAUACCCCCGUAGUCCCUGUCUCUUAUCC
rnacentral:rRNA from 1 species